GCGGGUAUAGGAAUAAUGAGACACCAAAACGGAGACUCCGAGAGGAACGCGGUGGGCCGGUGAGCACAGCAGCGACACGCAGGGGUCUGGCCUGGCCCCUGCCUUGGAGAGGAGGGCAUUGAGCCCCAGGCAGGGUGGCCAGAGGGGCUGAAGAUCCAUCAGGGUUGGGGGAAGCUCAUCAGCCCACAGCCUGGACCCCUUCCCCUGCCAUGUGUGGGGCCCUUGGAGGCUGAGGAGGAGCCAUGUGCUCCUCCCAGGGAGGAGCGUGUCCUUUUGCACAGUGCACGUGCCAUGCAGCAGGUGCUGGUGAUUAACAGUGGUGGGUGGCUCUGACACCUGGCCUGCCCCUUUCCCUCUGCCUAGAGAAGCCUGCAAGGGACGCAGGCUCUGUUCUGCAAGCUCCUGCCUCCUCCCUACGCCCACUUCUGUCAGGAAGAACCCAAUGACUUUUCACAGCUCUGUAUGAAUCAUGUCCUUGGACCCUCCUCUGCAGUCUCUGCCAAUCUGGGAUAAAUGGCUCCUGCUGGAGAAAGCCGUGAGCAGAGCAUCACUGGGACACCGCUAGCUACUUAACAAUCCAGGCCGACAGUGACACUCCCACUCCUGGACACGCCCCCUGCUUUCUGGGUGUGUACGGUGGGUGUGGCUGGCUGGCUGUCCGCCCCUCAGCGGGACUUGGCACAAGUGUGCUGCCACACAAGCUUUCUUGCCACGUGGGGACUCUCGGCUGAUGCAGGCCCUCGGUGGGUCCAGACCCCAGGGCUCUGGAGGAGACGUGGAUGCUCAGAUCCACACACCAGGAGUCUUUGUACAUGAUCUUGUUUCAGAAGUCCACAGAGGAGCUAGAGCGGCAGGCCAACGCUCCGUCUGUCACAGCUUAGAGCUUCUCCAGCCCCUGUCCCAGGACUCCUUGAAAACCAGCCCCAGCUUCCUGUCCUGCACCACGGGUCCCCCAGAUCGUCCUCGCCUAUCUCUUCUGGACGACUUCCCUCCAGUGAAGUUGAAGCUCUUUUCCUGUCUUUGUUGCCACCGUCACAUCAAGAGUCUUGAUUCCCUCACUGUCCAGGUUGGCCACGAAGGCUCCAUCUCACUGUCCACUCAUUGGCCCUGGUGUCCAUCUGAUGGACACACCAUUCUCAGACCUCUUGGCCUUUGUUGGAAUCACCUUC
rnacentral:lncRNA from 1 species